ensembl:lncRNA novel transcript
GGAGCACAACGUCGAAAGCAGCCGUUGGGAGCCCAGGAGGCGGGGCGCCUGUGGGAGCCGUGGAGGGAACUUUCCCAGUCCCCGAGGCGGAUCCGGUGUUGCAUCCUUGGAGCGAGCUGAGAGCUCGAGGUGAGCUGGGCUCGCGGUCGCCCCUCUCGCGCGCCCUCUUUAAGAACCACGGCGUCCAACCUCCCUGGAAAUGGGGGGAACAUGGCCGAGGCGCGUGGCGAGGCCGCCUCGUGGAGGCCCCGGAGCGGCAUCCUCAGCGCCCCAGCGAUCCGGUGCCCAUUAGUACAGAACCUGCUAAGGCCAUCAAACCUAUUGAUCGGAAGUCAGUCCAUCAGAUUUGCUCUGGGCCGGUGGUACCGAGUCUAAGCACUGCGGUGAAGGAGUUAGUAGAAAACAGUCUGGAUGCUGGUGCCACUAAUAUUGAUCUAAAGCUUAAGGACUAUGGAGUGGAUCUCAUUGAAGUUUCAGGCAAUGGAUGUGGGGUAGAAGAAGAAAACUUCGAAGGCUUAACUCUGAAACAUCACACAUCUAAGAUUCAAGAGUUUGCCGACCUACCUCAGGUUGAAACUUUUGGCUUUCGGGGGGAAGCUCUGAGCUCACUUUGUGCACUGAGUGAUGUCACCAUUUCUACCUGCCAUGUAUCGGCGAAGGUUGGGACUCGACUGGUGUUUGAUCACUAUGGGAAAAUCAUCCAGAAAACCCCCUACCCCCACCCCAGAGGGAUGACAGUCAGUGUGAAGCAGUUAUUUUCUACGCUACCUGUGCACCAUAAAGAAUUUCAAAGGAAUAUUAAGAAGUGAGUGAGCGCUCAUGGGAUCUGGUUGUUUAGAAGCAUGCACCACCUCCCGCUUCACUCUCUCUGUCUCUCCUGCUCCACCAUGGCCAGAAACGUGCCUGCUUCCCCUUCGCCUUCUGCCGUGAUUGUCAGUUUCCUGAGGCCUCCCCAGCCAUGCUUCCUGUACAGCCUGCAGAACUGUGAGUCAAUUAAACCUGUUUUCUUCAUAAA